UACGUAGGUGGCAAGCGUUGUCCGGAUUUACUGGGCGUAAAGCGCGCGCAGGCGGCUAUCCAAGUCAGUGGUGAAAGCCCGGAGCUCAACUCCGGAACUGCCAUUGAAACUGUUUAGCUUGAGGAUGAGAGAGGUGAGUGGAAUUCCCAGUGUAGAGGUGAAAUUCGUAGAUAUUGGGAAGAACACCGGUGGCGAAGGCGGCUCACUGGCUCAUUACUGACGCUCAGGCGCGAUAGCGUGGGGAUCAAACAGG
rnacentral:rRNA from 1 species